UUCAAUUUUUCACGUUUUCUUCUUCCUCAUCCGCUGCUCCUCAAGCAAAUCCUUCUGGCCCGAUCCUCAGCCGCUCUGUACCCGGUCAUCACCACUCAUUGCCCGAUCCUUGUUGCUCCUAGCGAGCUGCAGUGUGUCUUCCGCGGUCGUCUCUUCUUUCCCAGAAGACCUAGAGUGCCGGCUUGGUGUUUGACGCCGGGUCUGUUCUGGAUUCCAUUCGCUGGAAUGUUACAAUAGGUGGCUAUGUGAUAAAUGCAGAAGUUGAUUCCGGUGUGUGAACUGUUCGAUGAAAUAACUGAGAUGGACGCACUUGGACCUUGAUGAUGAGGGGCUACAUUAGGAGAGGGGAGAUGGAAGAGGCGAGAUGGUUUUUCGAUAGAAUGCCAUUCAGAGACACCUUUUUGUGGAAUUGUAUAGAUGGGUAGGAUUGGUUGUUUUUUGGUGGCUCUUGAGUCGUUUAAUUCAAUGCCUUCUUGUAAUGAUUUAAGAUACAAUAAUGCUGGAAUUGUGAUCACUCAGUUCCUGUUGAUAUUGGACAAGUGCAUACAUUUGUUGUUCC